AUUGAACGCUGGCGGCAUGCCUUACACAUGCAAGUCGAACGGUAACAGGUCUUCGGAUGCUGACGAGUGGCGAACGGGUGAGUAAUACAUCGGAACGUGCCUAGUAGUGGGGGAUAACUACUCGAAAGAGUGGCUAAUACCGCAUGAGAUCUACGGAUGAAAGCAGGGGAUCGCAAGACCUUGUGCUACUAGAGCGGCCGAUGGCAGAUUAGGUAGUUGGUGGGAUAAAAGCUUACCAAGCCGACGAUCUGUAGCUGGUCUGAGAGGACGAUCGAGCACACUGGGACUGGGAAACGGCCCAGACUCCUACGGGAGGCAGCAGUGGGGAAUUUUGGACAAUGGGCGCAAGCCUGAUCCAGCAAUGCCGCGUGCAGGAUGAAGGCCUUCGGGUUGUAAACUGCUUUUGUACGGAACGAAAAGCCCCGGGUUAAUACCCUGGGGUCAUGACGGUACCGUAAGAAUAAGCACCGGCUAACUACGUGCCAGCCGCCGCCGUAA
rnacentral:rRNA from 1 species